AGGAAGAGCAAGAAAACGAUAAGUCCUGCUAAUACUUAUUACCAGGGUUAAACUCCGUGGCUUUCUC
rnacentral:tRNA from 1 species